UUCCAAUAAAGCAAUGAAAGAUCAGUGCAAAAAACAUUGUCCAUGUGAAAGUAGCAAGUUUGAUGCCAGUUUAUUUGCGGCACUAAAUCAACCUGUUAAUUCUCAGCAUUAGAGAAUGGAGUUUGAGGUUUCUUCUCAUUCAAGACUUGUGUAGCUGUUCAGGCACAGAUGAAGAUAACCAAGAAGAGGAAAGGGUCCUUAAGAAUGCAGCACCUGUCCCUGAUAGAGGAGACCAUCCGCAAACAAUGUGUAGAGGGGUUUUGCAGCACCAGAACACCUCAAAAAUUUCCUGCCUAUCUGGAUACAUCACAGAUCGGUACGGCAACUGCUCUGCCCAGGACCACAAGAAACUGCAGAGAGUUGUGGACACAGCCCAGCACGUCACAGAAACCAGCAUCCCCUCCUUGGACUCUGUC